UUGCUUCAGCAGCACAAAUACUAAAAUUGGAAUGAUGCAGAGAAGAUUAGCAUGGCCCCUGCCCAAGAAUGACAUGCAAGGCUGAGCACCAUGGCUCAUGCCU
rfam:Otolemur garnettii contig081660, whole genome shotgun sequence.